rnacentral:rRNA from 1 species
CAGUAGCCGCGGUAGUACGGAGGGGGCUAGCGUUGUUCGGAAUUACUGGGCGUAAAGCGCACGUAGGCGGCUUGGUAAGUUAGAGGUGAAAGCCCGGAGCUCAACUCCGGAAUUGCCUUUAAGACUGCCGAGCUAGUAGGUGAGAGAGGUAAGUGGAAUUCCGAGUGUAGAGGUGAAAUUCGUAGAUAUUCGGAAGAACACCAGUGGCGAAGGCGGCUUACUGGCUCAUUCUAGACGCUGAGGUGCGAAAGCGUGGGGAGCAAACAGGAUUAGAUACCCCUGUAGUCCCUGUCUCUUAUCU